AUCUACCCUUGGUCAGGUUGAAGUUCAGGUAACACUGAAUGGAGGACCGAACCGACUUACGUUGAAAAGUGAGCGGAUGAACUGAGGGUAGCGGAGAAAUUCCAAUCGAACCUGGAGAUAGCUGGUUCUCUCCGAAAUAGCUUUAGGGCUAGCCUCAAGUGAUGAUUAUUGGAGGUAGAGCACUGUUUGGACGAGGGGCCCCUCUCGGGUUACCGAAUUCAGACAAACUCCGAAUGCCAAUUAAUUUAACUUGGGAGUCAGAACAUGGGUGAUAAGGUCCGUGUUCGAAAGGGAAACAGCCCAGACCACCAGCUAAGGUCCCAAAAUAUAUGUUAAGUGGAAAAGGAUGUGGCGUUGCCCAGACAACUAGGAUGUUGGCUUAGAAGCAGCCAUCAUUUAAAGAGUGCGUAAUAGCUCACUAGUCGAGUGACACUGCGCCGAAAAUGUACCGGGGCUAAACAUAUUACCGAAGCUGUGGAUUGUCCUUUGGACAAUGGUAGGAGAGCGUUCUAAGGGCGUUGAAGCAUGAUCGUAAGGACAUGUGGAGCGCUUAGAAGUGAGAAUGCCGGUGUGAGUAGCGAAAGACGGGUGAGAAUCCCGUCCACCGAUUGACUAAGGUUUCCAGAGGAAGGCUCGUCCGCUCUGGGUUAGUCGGGUCCUAAGCUGAGGCCGACAGGCGUAGGCGAUGGAUAACAGGUUGAUAUUCCUGUACCACCUAUA
rnacentral:rRNA from 1 species